rnacentral:rRNA from 1 species
CCCUUAGAGUUUGAUCCUGGCUCAGAGCGAACGCUGGCGGCAGGCCUAACACAUGCAAGUCGAGCGCUCGUAGCAAUACGAGAGCGGCAGACGGGAGAGUAACACGUGGGAACGUACCCUUCAGUUCGGAACAACCAAGGGAAACUUUGGCUAAUACCGGAUACGUCCGUAAGGAGAAAGAUUUAUCGCUGAAGGAUCGGCCCGCGUCUGAUUAGCUUGUUGGUGAGGUAACGGCUCACCAAGGCGACGAUCAGUAGCUGGUCUGAGAGGAUGAUCAGCCUCACUGGGACUGAGACACGGCCCAGACUCCUACGGGAGGCAGCAGUGGGGAAUAUUGGACAAUGGGCGCAAGCCUGAUCCAGCCAUGCCGCGUGGAUGAUGAAGGCCCUAGGGUUGUAAAGUCCUUUCGGCGGGGAAGAUAAUGACGGUACCCGCAGAAGAAGCCCCGGCUAACUUCGUGCCAGCAGCCGCGGUAAUACGAAGGGGGCUAGCGUUGCUCGGAAUCACUGGGCGUAAAGCGCACGUAGGCGGCGUCUUAAGUCAGGGGUGAAAUCCUGGAGCUCAACUCCAGAACUGCCUUUGAUACUGAGGUGCUUGAGUCCGGGAGAGGUGAGUGGAACUGCGAGUGUAGAGGUGAAAUUCGUAGAUAUUCGCAAGAACACCAGUGGCGAAGGCGGCUCACUGGCCCGGUACUGACGCUGAGGUGCGAAAGCGUGGGGAGCAAACAGAUUAGAUACCCUGGUAGUCCACGCCGUAAACGAUGGAUGCUAGCCGUUGGUGGGUUUACUCAUCAGUGGCGCAGCUAACGCAUUAAGCAUCCCGCCUGGGGAGUACGGUCGCAAGAUUAAACUCAAAGGAUU